GAUUUUAGAAACGGUGGAGCAGAUCAAGUGGUGGUGGUGAUAGGUGAGACCGGUUCGGGAAAGAGCACUCAGCUCUCUCAGAUGCUCUACCGCAAAGGGUACACAGAUUCCGGUGUCAUCGCUGUCACUCAGCCCCGCCGUAUGGCUGCCGUCUCCAUUUCGAGACGAGUUGCGCAGGAGCUUGAUGUUAGGCUUGGGGAAGAAGUAGGCUACGCUAUUCGGUUUGAAGAUAGAACUUCCGAAAGAACACAAAUCAAAUACUUACUGAUGGAUUGCUUCUUCGAGAGAGCCUGUCAAAUCCAGAACUGAAUCAGUAUUCUGUUAUUAUUUUGGACGAGGCUCAUGAAAGGAGUUUGCACAACGGAUAUUCUGCUGGGGUUGAUGAAACGUUUAGUUAAAAGACGCACCUCCAAUUUUAAAGUGCUGAUAACAUCAGCAACCCUUGUGAAUGGU